GUUGAGGAAUCCCCUCUUUGCCUCCCCUACCCCCCGACAAACCUGAGGAGGACCCCGAGUUGUGGCAGGAAGCAGAACCUGAGGCUGGACCUUCAUCUCCUGAGAGGGAAUCCAUUCUGUCAGGAGAGCAGGCGCGGUAUCUCAGAGACAACAGGGGCAGAUGGAGAAGGACCCUCAAAGAGCUACUCGGAGAGAUGGACAGGAGGAACAAGGAGCAGUCUGAGUUCCUCGAGGCAUGAGAGGAUUGGUCUCCCCAGUAGGAAGACACACUGGUGAACUGGUUCAUGAGCAGGAGGCAAGCCAUAGGGAACGGGAGCAUUCCCUAUUGGAGAGGCUCGUAGAACUGGCGGUCGACUGAGUUCGGGAUCUGCUUGCUGCCACCUCCUUCUCCAGCUGCCGCCCAGGGUACAUCUGAGCCAGACGACCUAACCCCCAAGUGACCAGAAGGGGACAAUGGAGCCUGCAAGAUUCCUGGGACAAAUUCCCUCCUCUGUUAUCCAAAAUCCUUUUGCUGUGGGACACCCCUGAGCAUCCAAGAGGGGAAAGAUGAGCUUGCAGGAGUCCCUGAAUCUCACCAAGUGUUAUCGUUUCCUUGACUCUUGUCCUAGUAUAAUGAACAUAAGAUAUUUUUAGGUUCUUGAUUGGGCCCCACAAUUCACAGCACAUGAAUUGCAAUAGUGUAACUAUCUGGUGCUAUUAUACUACAGACACUUUUCUGUCUGCAUCCCCCUCUUCUUCUGUUCAGAAAUAUCUGAAGGCCCAAGGAUAUAUGCACAUGAUGGGGAAGUGCAGUUAGUGCUCUGUACAUAGAGAAAUUAUGAGUUCUUGGUGCAGCAGAACACACAACCUAAGUGUUCUGGGGCUGGAGGUUUGGUGCAAGUUCCUAAGACGGCUCUAGAAAGGUCUGUUUUAUCAUUCAAAAGUUCCUUGGUCUAAAGCCACUGCUGGUCAUCCCAGGUUUCCAAAAUGAUGUGAUCCUCCAACACUUAUUUGUUCUCCUGCACCAGAAGUGAUGGUCCACUCCAGGAUAUACUGUGACAAUACUGGCAUUCACCAUAUCUAUACCAUAUGAGCUAAAUUACUUGUCAUUUAGCAGCAAGGUCAGCAGUCUUUGCUAUGGCACCUGCAGUGGGCAGACCUGCAAGGAUGGGACCUUUAUGAAUGACUGAGUGGCUGGCUAACUUAAAGGGAAGAAACAGAAAACUGUGGAGGCAAUGUUUCCAGACCUCACUGCAGGACCCCCAAAUUGAAAACAGCAGCAAGCAGGAGGUCUGAGAGGAAAAGACAGGGAGAUAUCAGAGAAAGUUUUGCAGUGGCCAGAGACCGCAUUGCCAUGACAAAAGACACAGUAGAGAAGGAUAUGCAUGCAGCAGCAACUCUUGGAGGCAAUCCAGAAUCCGGAUGCUCAGCUGUAGUGCAUGCUGGUAGCAGGCACACAGACAAUCCAGUGUCCUCAACCAGGACCCAGCCAUGUUCUGCAAUCCCGGGACAAUACAGGGUACUGGGAACACAGGCAUAUGUUCCCCACAGCCCCUAAACAGCCAUUCUCCCAGAUACCAUUCCCCACUCCAGCCGAAACUCGAGGCAGUGAGAACAGUUUUACCUGGGAACCCAGUUCUUUUAGACAUGUAACGACCCUGAUACUUAGAGCCCCGACAUGCGACCCCGAAAAAGCAGAAGAAGAAGAGGCAGAGGCAAGACAUAUGCUUGCCUGUUAAU